ANAGUUUGAUCCUGGCUCAGGAUGAACGCUGGCGGCGUGCCUAACACAUGCAAGUCGAGCGCGAUUGUUUGGACUGGAGACUUCGGUCAAAGGGAAGAACAUGAAAGCGGCGGACGGGUGAGUAACGCGUGAGCAACCUGCCCUGUACAGGGGGAUAGCCACUGGAAACGGUGAUUAAUACCCCAUAAGUCUGUAGGACCGCAUGGUCCAGCAGACAAAGCCUUGGCGGUACAGGAUGGGCUCGCGUCUGAUUAGCUAGUUGGUGAGGUAAUGGCUCACCAAGGCUUCGAUCAGUAGCCGACCUGAGAGGGUGAACGGCCACACUGGAACUGAGACACGGUCCAGACUCCUACGGGAGGCAGCAGUGGGGAAUAUUGCACAAUGGGCGCAAGCCUGAUGCAGCAACGCCGCGUGAGUGAAGAAGGCCUUCGGGUCGUAAAACUCUGUCCUAAGGGAAGAAGAAGUGACGGUACCUUAGGAGGAAGCCCCGGCUAACUACGUGCCAGCAGCCGCGGUAAUACGUAGGGGGCAAGCGUUAUCCGGAAUCACUGGGCGUAAAGGGUGCGUAGGCGGCUGAUCAAGCCAGGAGUGAAAGGCAGUGGCUCAACCAUUGUAAGCUUUUGGAACUGGUCAGCUAGAGUGCAGGAGAGGAAAGCGGAAUUCCUAGUGUAGCGGUGAAAUGCGUAGAUAUUANGAGGAACACCCGUGGCGAANGCGGCUUUCUGGACUGUAACUGACGCUGAGGCACGAAAGCGUGGGGAGCAAACAGGAUUAGAUACCCUGGNAGUCCACGCCGUAAACGAUGAGUGCUNNNNGUUGGGGGUCAAACCUCGGNGCCGCAGCUAACGCAUUAAGCACUCCGCCUGGGGGAGUACGUACGCAAGUAUGAAACUCNAAGGNAUUGACGGGG
rnacentral:rRNA from 1 species